GGCGCCCCUGCCCGGCCCCGGGCGCUCUAGCCGGAGCUGGCGACUCGGAGGUCUGGCGUCCCCCGCGCCCCCUGGGCUGCUCCGGCCGGACCCGUGUCCCGGCCCGUUUUCCCCCCCUUCCCCCGCCGGGCUCCGUGGACUAGGACUUCCGGAUGAAACACGGUCGCCCAGUUUGAGUUUCAGAGGAACGAGGAAUAAUGUUUUAGCUUCCAGUUCCUGUUCUGGGCCCAGCUCAGUGCUGGGGCAGACGUGGUCCCGGCCCCGAGCAAACACACCCAGCUACGAUCGGCUGCUCCAAGAGGGACUGUUCUGUGGAGGGAACGAGAGCCCUAGGCUCACCCCGCCAUGCAUUCUGCACACGCCCACCCAGAAGACACCAUGCCCAGUGCUGUUCCCACGUGGCCUACAUCCCCCCAGCACAUCCCGAUAUUUUCACCCCCUUGGGCUGCAGCAAUAAACAAGACAGAGGAAUUCAUUGCUGGUAUUAAACUUCAGAAAAUGGUAGCACACUGAACCUGUCAUGCUGCAGAGUGUUCUCUUCUUUGUCCCGCAUUGGAUUUUUGAGGUUCAUCUAUGCUGCUCCCAUUUGUAACUGUCACAGGGACCUUGUCCCAGCCGACUGUUGUUGAUCAGUUUCCAUAUUGAUGGA